GACGAACGCUGGCGGCGUGCUUAACACAUGCAAGUCGUACGGUAAGGCCCUUUCGGGGGUACACGAGUGGCGAACGGGUGAGUAACACGUGAGUAACCUGCCCACAACUUUGGGAUAACGCUAGGAAACUGGUGCUAAUACUGGAUAUGUGCUCCUGCUGCAUGGUGGGGGUUGGAAAGCUCCGGCGGUUGUGGAUGGACUCGCGGCCUAUCAGCUUGUUGGUGGGGUAGUGGCCUACCAAGGCGGCGACGGGUAGCCGGCCUGAGAGGGUGACCGGCCACAUUGGGACUGAGAUACGGCCCAGACUCCUACGGGAGGCAGCAGUGGGGAAUAUUGCACAAUGGGCGCAAGCCUGAUGCAGCAACGCCGCGUGCGGGAUGACGGCCUUCGGGUUGUAAACCGCUUGCAGCAGGGACGAAGCUUUUUGUGACGGUACCUGCAGAAGAAGCACCGGCUAACUACGUG
rnacentral:rRNA from 1 species